rnacentral:lncRNA from 1 species
UAUCUAUUUACAAAAAAAACAUAAAAUUAUUUUCUUAUUAUUAUCAAAAGAUAUAAAAUUUCAUUAUAUUUUUGUAGAAGUAAACCCACAUCAACAAUACAUUAUUUACAACCAACUUUCAAUUAAAGAACAACAAUUUUUUGGAAGUGAUUUGGAAUCCCUCAGGUUUAAGGCACCCAAACAUCAUAAGUUCAUAACACUUCAUGGGUACCGUGUAGAACAGGGACAAGACAUGUUUGUGUAUGAUUAUCUUUUUUAAACAAAAAACGGAUAAACAAGUCUUUGCUGCGGGUCAGGUGCUAUCUUCAAUGAUACAGAAGAAUUUGUAUUAUACUUCGAUUAUUUGUGUCAUAUGGUACAGAUCAAUAAGAUUUUGGAAGGAAACUCUUUAGUGUUAGAAAAUUAGCAUGCAUUCUUGUGACAACUGCCACAAAACCGGCAACUAGAUGGAUGUAUGCGCGGUUCCCUUGUUCAAGCUGUUUGUUUAUGUUUCAAGUUGUUUUGAGUCGAUGCUCCAUGCCACCUUUGCAGGAUUUGCUCGUUAUCUGUGACAACCCGAGCUUUCAAGGUCUUUCCUCGACACGUUGCUUGUUUUCACAACUAUGUUCUCAUAAUUCAUUGCGUUGUAACGGGUGCACGUUUGCUAUAUUAUUAUUUUAUUAUUGUUUGGUCUUAUGAUUAAUGAAUUUGAUUAAGGUAUUGAAAACUCAUUAACUGUUUGAGAUUAGAUAAACUUAAC